rnacentral:rRNA from 1 species
CCUACGGGUGGCAGCAGUGAGGAAUAUUGGUCAUUGGGCGCAGGCCUGCACCAGCCAAGUCGCGUGAGGGUAGACUGCCCUAUGGGUUGUAAACCUCUUUUAUAAGGGAAGAAUAAUGACUACGUGUAGUCAGUUGCCCGUACCUUAUGAAUAAGCAUCGGCUAACUCCGUGCCAGCAGCCGCGGUAAUACGGAGGAUGCGAGCGUUAUCCGGAUUUAUUGGGUUUAAAGGGUGCGUAGGCGGUAUUUUAAGUUAUUGGGAAAACGUCGGGGCUUCACCUUGAUUGGCCAUUAAAACUGGAGUACUAGAGUGCAGACGAGGUAGGCGGAAUAAGUUAAGUAGCGGUGGAAUGCGUAGAUAUAACUUAGAACCCCGGUGGCGAAGGCAGCUUACUAGACUGUUACUGACACUGAAGCACGAGAGCGUGGGUAGCGAACAGGAUUAGAUACCCCAGUAGUC